AGGAGGACCUUGAUUGACAGUGGAGCCACAUGAAUCAGAACUAGAGAAGGGGCAAUUCUCUCAAGAACUAAAAAAGGGAAGAACACUGCUUCCCUUCCCUCAGAAGAAUGAGAAUGGGAGAACUUGUCAGAUGGGAAAACUCAGAUGGCUGGACAAUCUGAAUAAUGAGGAACUGGAACGAUAUGGAGACUUCUUUACUCCCAAAUCUUACGUCUGGCCUGGGAUAACUCAAAGGAUUGUGCCUGUCUUUGGAUGACAUUCCAGGAUACCUGUCCACAGCCUGUGCAUGCGGCUUAGGCUUUCCUUGCUAAGCCAUGUAGUGAGGCUUUUACAUGAUCCAAAAGAAAGUACUCAGGCUAGAAAAAUGAAAGCUGUCAGGCAUUUUGUGACCAUCUUUAAUAGCCCCAUACAUCACCAAUACCACAUUCCACUGGUCGGAACAGUUAUGAGCUCUCCACGAUUCAAAGACAUUGAGUAUGGACCCCUCCUCUUGAUGACAGAUGUGUGGAAGACACUGUAGCCAUGUUCGAUAUUUCUUCAUUAAAGUUGUGCAAUCAUGCCA